rnacentral:rRNA from 1 species
GGACCCGCACAAGCGGUGGAUGAUGUGGUUUAAUUCGAUGCAACGCGAAAAACCUUACCCACCUUUGACAUGUACGGAAUCCUUUAGAGAUAGAGGAGUGCUCGAAAGAGAGCCGUAACACAGGUGCUGCAUGGCUGUCGUCAGCUCGUGUCGUGAGAUGUUGGGUUAAGUCCCGCAACGAGCGCAACCCUUGCCAUUAGUUGCUACGAAAGGGCACUCUAAUGGGACUGCCGGUGACAAACCGGAGGAAGGUGGGGAUGACGUCAAGUCCUCAUGGCCCUUAUAGGUGGGGCUACACACGUCAUACAAUGGCUGGUACAAAGGGUUGCCAACCCGCGAGGGGGAGCUAAUCCCAUAAAGCCAGUCGUAGUCCGGAUCGCAGUCUGCAACUCGACUGCGUGAAGUCGGAAUCGCUAGUAAUCGUGGAUCAGAAUGUCACGGUGAAUACGUUCCCGGGUCUU